UACGUAGGUGGCAAGCGUUGUCCGGAUUUACUGGGCGUAAAGAGCUCGUAGGCGGCUCGUCGCGUCGACCGUGAAAACCCGCGGCUUAACUGCGGGCUUGCGGUUGAUACGGGCGGGCUAGAGUUCGGUAGGGGAGACUGGAAUUCCUGGUGUAGCGGUGAAAUGCGCAGAUAUCAGGAGGAACACCGGUGGCGAAGGCGGGUCUCUGGGCCGAUACUGACGCUGAGGAGCGAAAGCGUGGGGAGCGAACAGG
rnacentral:rRNA from 1 species